rnacentral:rRNA from 1 species
ACGAACGCUGGCGGCGUGCUUAACACAUGCAAGUCGAACGAAGCUUGAUUACGGAUUCUUCGGAAGAAGUAUGAUAUGACUGAGUGGCGGACGGGUGAGUAACGCGUGAGUAACCUGCCCUUCAGAGGGGGAUAGCGUUUGGAAACGAACGGUAAUACCGCAUAAUGUAUUUUGACCGCAUGAUCGAAAUACCAAAGAUUUAUCGCUGAAGGAUGGACUCGCGUCUGAUUAGGUAGUUGGUGGGGUAACGGCCUACCAAGCCGACGAUCAGUAGCCGGACUGAGAGGUUGAUCGGCCACAUUGGGACUGAGACACGGCCCAGACUCCUACGGGAGGCAGCAGUGGGGAAUAUUGCACAAUGGGCGCAAGCCUGAUGCAGCAACGCCGCGUGAAGGAAGACGGUUUUCGGAUUGUAAACUUCUGUUCUUAGUGAAGAAUAAUGACGGUAGCUAAGGAGCAAGCCACGGCUAACUACGUG